ACCGGCUAACUCCGUGCCAGCAGCCGCGGUAAUACGGAGGGUCCNAGCGUUAUCCGGAAUCAUUGGGUUUAAAGGGUCCGUANGCGGGCCUGUAAGUCUAGGGCGUGNACAAGAUGUUGUGGCUCAACCAUAAAAUUGCCUUUGAUACUGCAGGUCUUGAGUCAUGGUGGGGUCGCCGGAACAUGUGGCGUAGCGGUGAAAUGCAUAGAUAUCACAUAGAACACCGAUCGCGAAGGCAGGUGGCCAACCAUGUACUGACGCUGAUGGACGAAAGCGUGGGUAGCGAACGGGAUUAGAUACCCCGGUAGUCCACGCCGUAAACGAUGGAUACUAGCUGUGGGGACUUCGGUCUCCGUGGCCAAGCGAAAGUGAUAAGUAUCCCAC
rnacentral:rRNA from 1 species